rnacentral:tRNA from 1 species
GGGGUUGUGGAUCGGUGGUUGAGCACUUGCCUGGCAUGCAUGAGGCACUGGGUUCGAUUCCCAGCACCA